GCGUGCCUAACACAUGCAAGUCGAACGAGAAAGCUCCUUCGGGAGUUAGUAGAGUGGCGCACGGGUGAGUAACACGUGGAUAAUCUGCCUGAUAAUCUGGGAUAACAUUUCGAAAGGGAUGCUAAUACCGGAUAAGCCCACAGCCUCUUCGGAGGCAGCGGGAAAAGAUGGCCUCUUCUUGAAAGCUAUUGUUAUCAGAUGAGUCCGCGGUCCAUUAGCUAGUUGGUAGGGUAAUGGCCUACCAAGGCAACGAUGGAUAGCUGGUUUGAGAGAAUGAUCAGCCACACUGGAACUGAGACACGGUCCAGACUCCUACGGGAGGCAGCAGUGGGGAAUUUUGCGCAAUGGGGGAAACCCUGACGCAGCAACGCCGCGUGAGUGAUGAAGGUUUUCGGAUCGUAAAGCUCUGUCAAGAGGGAAGAAACCUCCAAUGGUUAAUAUCUGUUGGAAUUGACGGUACCUCUAGAGGAAGCACCGGCUAACUCCGUGCCAGCAGCCGCGGUAAUACGGAGGGUGCAAGCGUUGUUCGGAAUUAUUGGGCGUAAAGCGCGUGUAGGCGGUUUGUUAAGUCUGAUGUGAAAGCCCCGGGCUCAACCUGGGAAGUGCAUUGGAAACUGGCAAACUUGAGUACGGGAGAGGGAAGUGGAAUUUCGAGUGUAGGGGGUGAAAUCCGUAGAUAUUCGAAGGAACACCAGUGGCGAAGGCGGCUUCCUGGACCGAUACUGACGCUGAGACGCGAAAGCGUGGGGAGCAAACAGGAUUAGAUACCCUGCUAGUCCACGCCGUAAACGAUGGGUACUAGGUGUUGCGGGGUAUUGACCCCUGCAGUGCCGAAGCUAACGCAUUAAGUACCCCGCCUGGGGAGUAC
rnacentral:rRNA from 1 species